UUCGCAAUGCCCGAAAGGGUGACGAAGCAACGCCGCGUGUGGGAAGAAGGCCUUCGGGUUGUAAACCACUGUCGGGAGUUAAGAAAUGCAAGAAUGUUAAUAGCGUUUUUGCUUGACUAAGGCUCCGGAGGAAGCCACGGCUAACUCUGUGCCAGCAGCCGCGGUAAUACAGAGGCGGCAAGCGUUGUUCGGAAUUAUUGGGCGUAAGGAGCACGUAGGCGGCUAUAUAAGUCGGUUGUGAAAGCCUUCCGCUCAACGGGAGAACAGCAUCCGAUACUGUGUGGCUUGAGUGUGGGAGGGGAGAGCGGAACUUCUGGUGGAGCGGUGAAAUGCGUAGAUAUCAGAAGGAACGCCGGCGGCGAAAGCGGCUCUCUGGCCCAUAACUGACGCUGAGUGUGCGAAAGCUAGGGGAGCAAACGGGAUUAGUUACCCCGGUAGUCCUAGCCGUAAACGAUGGGCACUAAGUAGAGGGGUU
rnacentral:rRNA from 1 species